rnacentral:rRNA from 1 species
CCAAUAGCGUAUAUUAAAGUUGUUGCAGUUAAAAAGCUCGUAGUUGAAUUUCGGGAUCAAUUAAUUGGUCGUGCCUCUGGUACGUACUGAUUUUAUUGGUUUCUCCCUUCUGACGAACCAUGAUGUCAUUAAUUUGAUGUCGUGGAGAAUCAGGACUGUUACUUUGAAAAAAUUAGAGUGUUUAAAGCAAGCUAACGCUUGAAUACAUUAGCAUGGAAUAAUGAAAUAGGACGUUUGAUCCUAUUUUGUUGGUUUCUAGGAUCGACGUAAUGAUUAAUAGGGAUAGUUGGGGGCAUUAGUAUUCAAUUGUCAGAGGUGAAAUUCUUGGAUUUAUUGAAGACUAACUACUGCGAAAGCAUUUGCCAAGGAUGUUUUCAUUAAUCAAGAACGAAAGUUAGGGGAUCGAAGACGAUCAGAUACCGUCGUAGUCUUAACCAUAAACUAUGCCGACUAGAGAUCGGAUGAUGUUAAUUUUUUAAUGACUCAUUCGGCGCCUUACG